rnacentral:rRNA from 1 species
UACGGAGGAUGCGAGCGUUAUCCGGAUUUAUUGGGUUUAAAGGGUGCGUAGGCGGUUUGAUAAGUUAGAGGUGAAAUGUCGGGGCUCAACCCCGAAACUGCCUCUAAUACUGUUGGACUAGAGAAUAGUUGCGGUAGGCGGAAUGUAUGGUGUAGCGGUGAAAUGCUUAGAGAUCAUACAGAACACCGAUUGCGAAGGCAGCUUACCAAACUAUAUCUGACGCUGAGGCACGAAAGCGUGGGUAGCAAACAGG